GACGAACGCUGGCGGCGUGCUUAACACAUGCAAGUCGAACGAUGAAGCCCAGCUUGCUGGGUGGAUUAGUGGCGAACGGGUGAGUAACACGUGGGCAACCUGCCCCAAACUCUGGGAUAACUCCUCGAAAGAGGUGCUAAUACCGGAUACGAACUAGACAGACAUCUGUACUAGUUGGAAAGUUUUUCGGUUUGGGAUGGGCCCGCGGCCUAUCAGCUUGUUGGUUGGGUAACGGCGCACCAAGGCUACGACGGGUAACCGGCCUGCGAGGGCGACCGGACACACUGGGACGUGGACACGGCCCGUACGCCUACGGGAGGCAGCAGGGGGGAGUAGUGCGCAAAGGGCGAAAGCCUGACGCAGCGACGCCGCGUGAGGGAUGAAGGUCUUCGGAUCGUAAACCUCUUUCAGUAGGGACGAAGCGAAAGUGACGGUACCUAAAGAAGAAGCACCGGCUAACUACGUGCCAGCAGCCGCAGUAA
rnacentral:rRNA from 1 species